rnacentral:rRNA from 1 species
GAUGAACGCUGGCGGCGUGCCUAAUACAUGCAAGUCGAGCGAACGGACGAGAAGCUUGCUUCUCUGAUGUUAGCGGCGGACGGGUGAGUAACACGUGGAUAACCUACCUAUAAGACUGGGAUAACUUCGGGAAACCGGAGCUAAUACCGGAUAAUAUUUUGAACCGCAUGGUUCAAAAGUGAAAGACGGUCUUGCUGUCACUUAUAGAUGGAUCCGCGUUGCAUUAGCUAGUUGGUAAGGUAACGGCUUACCAAGGCAACGAUGCAUAGCCGACCUGAGAGGGUGAUCGGCCACACUGGAACUGAGACACGGUCCAGACUCCUACGGGAGGCAGCAGCAGGGAAUCUUCCGCAAUGGGCGAAAGCCUGACGGAGCAACGCCGCGUGAGUGAUGAAGGUCUUCGGAUCGUAAAACUCUGUUAUUAGGGAAGAACAUAUGUGUAAGUAACUGUGCACAUCUUGACGGUACCUAAUCAGAAAGCCACGGCUAACUACGUG